ACUGCUCAGUAACACGUGGACAACUUACCCAAGAGUCCGGGAUAACCCCGGGAAACUGGGGAUAAUACCGGAUAGAUCAUCUUUGCUGGAAGGCUUGGUGGUUGAAACUUCCGGGGCUUUUGGAUGGGUCUGCGGCUGAUUAGGUUGUUGCCGGUGUAACGUACCGUCAAGCCUGUAAUCAGUACGGGUUGUGGGAGCAAGAGCCCGGAGAUGGAUUCUGAGACACGAAUCCAGGCCCUACGGGGCGCAGCAGGCGCGAAAACUCUACAAUGCAGGCAACUGCGAUAGGGGAACAUCGAGCGAUCCUCAUAUUGGGGGUCUGUCCACCUGUCUAAAAAACGGGUGUUAGCAAGGGCCGGGCAAGACCGGUGCCAGCCGCCGCGGUAAUACCGGCGGCUCGAGUGGUGGCCGAUAUUAUUGAGUCUAAAGGGUCCGUAGCCGGCUUUGCAAGUCUCUCGGGAAAUCCAGCGGCUUAACCGUUGGUCGUCCGGGGGGUACUACAUUGCUUGGGACUGGGAGAGGUAGGAGGUACUCAGGGGGUAGGAGUGAAAUCCUGUAAUCCUUUGGGGACCACCGGUGGCGAAGGCGUCCUACCAGAACAGGUCCGACGGUGAGGGACGAAAGCUAGGGGCACGAACCGGAUUAGAUACCCGGGUAGUCCUAGCCGUAAACGAUGCUCGCUAGGUGUCACAACAGUCGUGAAUUGUUGUGGUGCCGUAGGGAAGCCGUGAAGCGAGCCACUUGGGAAGUACGACCGCAAGGUUGAAACUUAAAGGAAUUGGCGGGGGAGCA
rnacentral:rRNA from 1 species